UACGUAGGGGGCGAGCGUUGUCCGGAUUUAUUGGGCGUAAAGAGCGUGUAGGCGGUUCGGUAAGUCUGUCGUGAAAUCCUGAGGCUCAACCUCGGGCGUGCGAUGGAUACUGCCGGGCUAGAGGAUGGGAGAGGGAUGCGGAAUUCCAGGUGUAGCGGUGAAAUGCGUAGAUAUCUGGAGGAACACCGGUGGCGAAGGCGGCAUCCUGGACCAAUACUGACGCUGAGGAGCGAAAGCCAGGGGAGCAAACAGG
rnacentral:rRNA from 1 species